ACCGGCAAACGGGUGGGGAACACGUACGCAAGCUUCCUUCAAGCGGGGAAUAGCCCAGAGAAGUUUGGAUUAAUACCCCAUAAGAAUGUGGACUGGCAUCAGUCAGCAUUUAAAGAUUUAUCACUUGAAGAUGGGCGUGCGUCUGAUUAGAUAGUUGGUGAGGUAACGGCUCACCAAGUCAACGAUCAGUAACUGGCGUGAGAGCGCGAUCAGUCACACGGGCACUGAGACACGGGCCCGACUCCUACGGGAGGCAGCAGUAAGGAAUAUUGGUCAAUGGACGGAAGUCUGAACCAGCCAUGCCGCGUGGAGGAUGAAGGCCCUCGGGUCGUAAACUUCUUUUAUUUGGGACGAAACACUUCUUAUCUAAGGAGCUUGACGGUACCAGAUGAAUAAGCACCGGCUAACUCCGUGCCAGCAGCCGCGGUAAUACGGAGGGUGCAAGCGUUAUCCGGAUUCACUGGGUUUAAAGGGUGCGUAGGCGGAUUUGUAAGUCCGUGGUGAAAUCUCUAAGCUUAACUUGGAAAUUGCCGUGGAUACUAUAAGUCUUGAAUAUUGUGGAGGUUAGCGGAAUAUGUCAUGUAGCGGUGAAAUGCAUAGAUAUGACAUAGAACACCAAUUGCGAAGGCAGCUGGCUACACAACUAUUGACGCUGAGGCACGAAAGCGUGGGGAUCAAACAGGAUUAGAUACCCUGGUAGUCCACGCCCUAAACGAUGAUUACUCGACAUUUGCGAUACACAGCAAGUGUCUGAGCGAAAGCAUUA
rnacentral:rRNA from 1 species